rnacentral:rRNA from 1 species
UACGUAGGGGGCUAGCGUUGUCCGGAAUUAUUGGGCGUAAAGAGCUCGUAGGCGGUUUGUCGCGUCUGCUGUGAAAACCUCAGGCUCAACCUGGGGCUUGCAGUGGGUACGGGCAGACUAGAGUGCGGUAGGGGUGACUGGAAUUCCUGGUGUAGCGGUGGAAUGCGCAGAUAUCAGGAGGAACACCGAUGGCGAAGGCAGGUCACUGGGCCGCAACUGACGCUGAGGAGCGAAAGCAUGGGGAGCGAACAGG